AUGCGUCUUAAUUCGGUCCCGUUCGAAAACGGCCACCCGUCGAACGCCGCCGGGAAAGGGAACCAAAUAGGAAGUUUUGGUCUUCGUUACUUUCUUGCGUGGAGAAGCAUUAGAAAACCGGAACAGGCGGGAUUCGACAAGCCGGAAGGGGCGGGGCGGAGGAGGCCCUUACUGUGGUGGAGUGAAAGAGAGAGAGAGGUUCGCGCGCGUUUUGGGCCUGCUUGGGAUUGUGGGCCUUUACGCGUGCCGCUCUUCCCCCCCCUUCCCCCCGAUUCUCUCCGUGGCGCUCCUGAAACUAUGUCGGAAGGAGUAGACCUCAUUGAUAUCUACGCCGACGAGGAGUUUAACCAGGACUCUGAAUUUAGUAAUACUGACCAGAUGGAUCUAUAUGAUGAUGUGCUAGCUGCCAGCUCACAACCUUCUGAAAGUUGCACUAGCAGCUCUGAGCCACCAAUUGAAAGCCGCCAAGAACAAUCUCCUAAGUCAAACAGCAAAUCGCCUGCUAUUUUGUAUACAUACAGUGGACUGCGCAAUAAAAGGGCUGCUGUUUAUGUGGGCAGCUUUUCUUGGUGGACAACUGACCAGCAAUUGACCAGAAUAAUCCGUUCUAUAGGUGUUUAUGAUGUUGUGGAGCUGAAAUUUGCUGAGAACAGAGCCAAUGGCCAAUCUAAAGGAUACGCAGAAGUGGUUGUUGCUUCUGAGAACUCAGUCCACAAACUUCUAGAGCUGCUACCAGGGAUGAUUCUAAAUGGAGAUAAAAUAGAAGUCAAGUUGGCUACCCGGCAAAACCUUGCACAGUUUGAGGCACAAGCCCGAAAACGGGUGCCUCCAAUGGCUCACUCAAGGGAUUCCUUAGACUCUCUUGAUGGCCGAGCAACUCCAACAGAAAAUGCUAUCCCACCACCACGCAUUGAGAAACCUCCCGUUUUACCUUUCUUCAACCGUCCUCCCUCUGCGCUUCCUCUGAUGGGGCUGCCCCCUCCACCCAUACCCCCCCCUCCACCACUUUCUUCAAGUUUUGGAGUUCCCCCUCCCCCUCCCGGUAUCCAUUACCAGCAUCUCAUGCCUCCCCCACCCCGACUUCCCCCCCACUUAUCUGUGCCACCUCCAGGGUCAGUGCCACCUGCCCUGCACCUCAAUCCAGCUUUCUUCCCACCCCCAAAUGCAGCCAUGGGGCCUCCACCAGAUGCCUACAGCAAGGCUUCUGCACCAUAUAAUCACAGCAGCAGGGAGUUGGGCCCAUUACCUCCACCUGUUGGCGAAGCAGAAUUUGAUGAUAUCAUGAACAGGAACCGAGCAAUUUCCAGCAGUGCCAUAUCUAAGGCUGUAUCUGGGGCCAGUGCAGGGGAUUACAGUGAUGCUAUUGAGACCCUGCUUACAGCCAUUGCUGUAAUUAAACAGUCCCGUGUAGCAAAUGAUGAGCGGUGUCGAGUCCUUAUCUCUUCACUUAAGGAUUGCCUUCAUGGCAUUGAAGCCAAGUCUUACAGCAUGGGCACUGGCAGCAGCAGCAGUUCCUCAAGAAAAAGACAUCGGUCACGUGAUAGGUCGCCAAGUCGGUCACGUGAGAGCAGUAGGAGGCACCGAGAGGUGGUUCAUAAUGAAGAUCGACAUGAGGACUAUUUCCAAGAAAGAAGCCGGGAGCACGAGAGGCACAGAGACAGGGACAGAGAAAGAGAUCGGCAUCAUUGAGAGAAGGAAAAUGACCACAUUGCUGGCCAUGCCCCCUGUGACCCCAAGGCAAGGCAGGAAAGCGAACUGUGGCCCCUGGGCCCAAAAGGAUUAUCCAGCACUGCUGUAGAUAAUCAGACCAGAGCUUCUAAUUUAACUACUUAAACAAGAAGGAAAUCCUGAAGUACAUUUGUGCAGAAUCUGCUUUGUUCUUUCCUGGGGAUGCUAGAAGCAUACAGUGUUUUUAUGGACUUAUAUCCUGUCCUUAAUCAAGACUAAAGGAUGGGGGAUUCUCCACCCACUCCUUCCCGCUGCCCUCUGCUCUUUCCAGACCCCUUGGAAGUGACUUUGCCUGUAGGACUCCAUUUGGCACACUAUGGCACUAAGACUUGAGUUCUUCCUAAGUGUGCUGCUGCUGCUGUUGCUUGAUGGAGGAACACUGAAUGACUUGGAGUUUGGGAGGGGUUGUCUGAGCCACUGUGACCAGGGGGCAAUUUCAAUCCAUGGAUUCUUGGACCCAAAGAGAAUGGUGCUUUCCACAGAGGUCUGUCACCUCUUUCCUUUCCAUGGCGUUAUAGAAACACCCGGGGAGGAACACAUCCAACUUCUCUCCUGUAGGAAGACCUCAUGCUUCAGCACAGCACAAGGUAUAUUACCAUAGCCUCACUGGAGCUUAUGUUCAAAAUUCAAACUGCAUUGUCUUCUUAGGCAUCAGUGCAUAGAGUCCUCCUUAAUUUUUGAUCCUUUUUCCAAAGCAGCUUCAGUCUUGCACUCUAACAGCUUUGUACACAGCUUAGAAAAGUUUUGUUUUCCUUUUCUGGGAUGAGAACAGGCUACUUGCUGCUUCCAGUCAUGCCUCUUCUUAAUUCCUGAAAGUUGUCAUACCAGUUUAACCUAACUUCUUUUAGGAGGGGCUGUGCUGUUAAGCUUGCCCACAAAAUUGAGUCUCCCUUAAAAAAAUAAAUCUACCUUUCACUAUUGCAAGAGCUCUAUUCACAGGUGAUUCUCUGACAAAUUCCUUGCUUUGUUUCAUGCAUUAGCUGCUCUGAUUGUAAUUUCUUACACAAACAUUUGUUUUCAAGGCCAUUCUUUCCCAGCAUAUCACCUUCCUUGUUGUAGAGGAAGAGUUGUGACUAGAUACAGAAACAUGGAAUUGGGACAAAGUCAAGCUGAGGCUUCUGGACAUUAUUGAUUAGAGCACACCUUGAGCAUUUUAAAUUUUGUGUGAUGUAAGUGUUGAAUUAAGGUCCAAAACUACCCUUGCUCCCAUUCUCAUUUGGAAUUUUCCCUUUGGUGGGAAUCACUCAUGACAUAAUAAAACCUUAGUGGUCUCUGGCAUGCCAGCCUAGGAAAAGACAAAGUUAAAUUUUUAUUAUGUAAACUUAGAACGAGGAUUCCUGGAUCCAAUGAGCCUUUUGGCUGGCAACCAAUUGAAACCAGAAACACAUUACAUGGGGAUCCUUAUGGAAAAACAGUGGCUGCAGAAAUCUUGAUUCAAGUGUCAUCUUCGUGAUGGAACUUUUUGAGGUGUGCAUUUUAGUUUUCAGUGCUCCAUCCUGGCACCCCAGUUACACAAAAUCAAGUUACAUACCCUGGAUUUCUUUAGUAAGACCAAGCAUCUAUUACAUUGUGACUAUCCAACUGCAUGGCGAAGCCCUCCUCAUAGAAAGAUCUGUCUUUUUCUCAGAGAACAAUUGGAUAGAUUAAAGAGGAUGACUGUAUCACCAAGGGAUAUGAUGCCUCCUUUUGUGCUGUUGAUCCAAGAGGGUCUAAGAUCAAUGUUUUUUAAAAGAGAAAACAAAAAGUUAAUGUAAGCCAGCGGAGAGCGCUUAAACUGUAAAGUAUACAAUAUGGAUUGGAAAAGUUGCUUUUUACCUAAUGGGACAUUUUUAUUUUGUUUUGAAAUAAUGGAAGAAAAAGAAGAAGAAAAACAGACAACAGAAAACAUAACUUCAGUUCCCUUCUACUCUCCCACUCCUGUUCUUCGUGAUUUGAUUUGUUUGUCUUUUUCUGAUAGGUUGGAAAUUGUGUAAUAAACUUGAUGAUAUUGUCAAUCUUU